AUAGAGACUCAGAGCUGCAUAUCAAUAAGCGGAGGAAAAGAAACUAACAAGGAUUCCCUUAGUAACGGCGAGUGAAGCGGGAAGAGCUCAAAUUUGAAAUCUUCAAGGUUCUACCUUGACGAAUUGUAGUUUAAAGAAGUGUUUUCUGUUAGAUGAGUAGCAAAAGUUCCUUGGAAUGGGACAUCAUAGAGGGUGAGAAUCCCGUAUUUGACCAUUAUUUCCAGCUUUGUGAUACACUUUCAAAGAGUCGGAUUGUUUGGGAAUGCAGUCCAAAAUGGGUGGUAAAUUUCAUCUAAAGCUAAAUAUUGGCGAGAGACCGAUAGCGAACAAGUACCGUGAGGGAAAGAUGAAAAGAACUUUGAAAAGAGAGUUAAACGGUACGUGAAAUUGUCAAAAGGGAAGCGUUUGACACCAGUGUUGUUUUUCCGAAAAUCAAUUACGAAUGGCUUGAUUUUGUGUUGUAUUGACCUUAUCAGCUUUCUGCACUUUUUUCGAGUCUUUUUUAAUGCACUUUUCGUUUAACAAGUCAACAUCAAUUUCUUUUGUUGUAAAAGAGUAUUCGGAAGGUGGCUUUCUUUUCGGAGAAAGUGUUUAUAGCCCUAUACUUCUACAAUCGGAGAGAUUGAGGUCUGCAGCGUAGAUCCUUCGGGGUUAGAUACAUUUGUGCUAAGUUGUAGCUUUUCAUAGACAACUUGUUGACUAUGUUUAGUCAUGCGGCUUACUCGCUUAUGCUAUUUUACCUACGCUUAGGAUGUUGACGAUCAGCUGAGCGCG
rnacentral:rRNA from 1 species